GGAAGGGGGGACAGAGAGAGAGAGAGAUUGGGAUGUAGCAGUAGCAGUGGAAGGGACAUGCAGAGGAAAGGCCAAGAAAGAGAGGAGGCAAAAAUGGUUCUCAUCUCAAUGCUUCUUCUCAAGGCAGAUUCCUGUGCAUGCCUCCUCCACCCCUGCUGCUACCAUUCCCCUCCCCUUCUGAAGUGGCUGCUCUGUCUUUCUUGAAGGAUUAUUGGAACCUUGCUGUAUAUAUACAUAUGCAUAUGCAUAGUGUAUAUGUAUGGAUGCAUAUGUGUGUAUGUAUGCGUACAUACGUAUGAAUGUAUGUAUGCGUCUAUGAAAAAAAAACCGUCUAUGAAUCUCACUGAACAUCUGGUUAACCACCUCAAAUGAAGCUGAAUCUGAGUUGGUCAAACUAAAGAUGGAUGGGGGAAGAAGGAAUGGCAGCUGGAUCAGGUAUGUGUUUGUGUAAAGGCAGUUCUGAAUCCAUUAAUGACGUUCUCCUCCAUUGCCCUUUUGCAAAGCAUAUCUAGGGCAAGCUGAGGACUUCAAAGGCAGAGACUGGCUUCCCUGUUUUCAGGCUGGACCUACUGGAGGAAAAAGAGGGUGAAAUGAGCAAUAAGAAGAGUUUGGAGUCAGCUGCUACUAGCUCCAUGCUGGCAUCUAAGGAACAUAAGGCUAGGGCUUUUCUCAAGCAUAAAUAUCCCCAAUGCAGUUGAUCCCUCAUCAGCCACUAAACUCUUCAAGCUUAGCAACUCCCAUGUAUUUUAGGCUCUUAAUCUCGCAUGGUACUUGCUAUGAAUAAAUAGUGGGGGCUGUUCUGCAUCCCACUGUUCUCAGAUCAGAUCCUAUAAGAAGAGUAACAACUUAUGCUAGGUCAUUUCUCUGAAAAAAAAACAACAAAAAAAAUAAAGACACAACUGGAAAGGGGGGAUUUCAAGCAGUUUGAACUGUUGGGAAACCAACAAGAUCAUUUGAGAAAUAUGAAUUAAUUAGUU